CUAGGGUAAAAUGGAAGUUGUGAUGGCAGAGAAAAAAAGAAUAAACAGAUACACUAAACACAUGAGAUAGACAAAAGCAGCCUCUCAUACUUGUAUCCUUUCUACAGAAAUAUACAGGUGAAGAGGUUCAGGACACCUGAAAGAGCAGGGAAAAAACUUCACACAGAAGAUGGCCUCUCAGAUGUAGGUGAAGAUACAGGGAAAGAACAUGACACUGGAGAUGGGGAAGAGCUGCAGCUCGAGCACAGACAUUUCGAAGUCCUUCCUUUUGCUGGGACCUACGAGAGAAGAGAAAGGAGAUAUUCCAUCAGCCAGAAGAUCAACCUGGAACCAGUUCUCCCUCCCCAGCUGUGGAAAACCAAGAAGCCCCGAAGACCUAUGCACCAAUCAGCCAGUUUCUGAAUUUGGCCCAAGACAAGGAGGCAUCCAGUGGACUUGA
rnacentral:lncRNA from 1 species